rnacentral:rRNA from 1 species
UACGGGGGGGGCAAGCGUUGUUCGGAAUUACUGGGCGUAAAGGGCUCGUAGGUGGCCAACUAAGUCAGACGUGAAAUCCCUCGGCUUAACCGGGGAACUGCGUCUGAUACUGGAUGGCUUGAGUGUGGGAGAGGGAUGCGGAAUUCCAGGUGUAGCGGUGAAAUGCGUAGAUAUCUGGAGGAACACCGGUGGCGAAGGCGGCAUCCUGGACCAACACUGACACUGAGGAGCGAAAGCCAGGGGAGCAAACGGG